rnacentral:misc_RNA from 1 species
CUUGGUCAUUUAGAGGAAGUAAAAGUCGUAACAAGGUCUCCGUUGGUGAACCAGCGGAGGGAUCAUUACCGAGUUUACAACUCCCAAACCCCUGUGAACAUACCUAUACGUUGCCUCGGCGGAUCAGUCCGCGCCCUGUAAAAAGGGACGGCCCGCCCGAGGACCCUAAACUCUGUUUUUAGUGGAACUUCUGAGUAAAACAAACAAAUAAAUCAAAACUUUCAACAACGGAUCUCUUGGGUCUGGCAUCGAUGAAGAACGCAGCAAAAUGCGAUAAGUAAUGUGAAUUGCAGAAUUCAGUGAAUCAUCGAAUCUUUGAACGCACAUUGCGCCCGCCAGUAUUCUGGCGGGCAUGCCUGUUCGAGCGUCAUUUCAACCCUCAAGCUCAGCUUGGUGUUGGGACUCGCGGUAACCCGCGUUCCCCAAAUCGAUUGGCGGUCACGUCGAGCUUCCAUAGCGUAGUAAUCAUACACCUCGUUACUGGUAAUCGUCGCGGCCACGCCGUAAAACCCCAACUUCUGAAUGUUGACCUCGGAUCAGGUAGGAAUACCCGCUGAACUUAAGCAUAUCAAUAAGCGGAGGA